rnacentral:rRNA from 1 species
UACGUAGGGGGCAAGCGUUAUCCGGAUUUACUGGGUGUAAAGGGAGCGUAGACGGCAGCGCAAGUCUGGAGUGAAAUGCCGGGGCCCAACCCCGGAACUGCUUUGGAAACUGUGCGGCUCGAGUGCGGGAGAGGUAGGCGGAAUUCCUGGUGUAGCGGUGAAAUGCGUAGAUAUUAGGAGGAACACCAGUGGCGAAGGCGGCUUACUGGACCGUAACUGACGUUGAGGCUCGAAAGCGUGGGGAGCAAACAGG